GUGGGGAAUCUUGCGCAAUGGGCGAAAGCCUGACGCAGCCAUGCCGCGUGAAUGAUGAAGGUCUUAGGAUUGUAAAAUUCUUUCACCGGGGACGAUAAUGACGGUACCCGGAGAAGAAGCCCCGGCUAACUUCGUGCCAGCAGCCGCGGUAAUACGAAGGGGGCUAGCGUUGCUCGGAAUUACUGGGCGUAAAGGGCGCGUAGGCGGACAGUUUAGUCAGGGGUGAAAGCCCAGGGCUCAACCUUGGAAUUGCCUUUGAUACUGGCUGUCUUGAGUACGGGAGAGGUGAGUGGAACUCCGAGUGUAGAGGUGAAAUUCGUAGAUAUUCGGAAGAACACCAGUGGCGAAGGCGACUCACUGGCCCGUUACUGACGCUGAGGCGCGAAAGCGUGGGGAGCAAAUAGGAUUAGAAACCCCUGUAGUCC
rnacentral:rRNA from 1 species